AGGGGAUCUUCGGACCUUUCGCUAUGAGAUGAGCCUGCGUUAGAUUAGCUAGUUGGUAGGGUAAAGGCCUACCAAGGCGACGAUCUAUAGCUGGUCUGAGAGGACGAUCAGCCACACUGGGACUGAGACACGGCCCAGACUCCUACGGGAGGCAGCAGUGGGGAAUAUUGGACAAUGGGCGAAAGCCUGAUCCAGCAAUACCGCGUGUGUGAAGAAGGCCUUAGGGUUGUAAAGCACUUUCAAUUGGGAGGAAAACCUGCCGGCCAAUACCCGGUAGCUUGACAUUACCUAUAGAAGAAGCACCGGCUAACUCCGUGCCAGCAGCCGCGGUAAUACGGAGGGUGCGAGCGUUAAUCGGAAUUACUGGGCGUGAAGCGUGCGUAGGCGGUUCGUUAAGUCAGAUGUGAAAGCCCUGGGCUCAACCUGGGAACUGCAUUUGAAACUGGCGGACUAGAGUUUAGUAGAGGGGAGUGGAAUUUCAGGUGUAGCGGUGAAAUGCGUAGAUAUCUGAAGGAACACCAGUGGCGAAGGCGACUCCCUGGACUAGAACUGACGCUGAGGUACGAAAGCGUGGGUAGCAAACAGGAUUAGAUACCCUGGUAGUCCACGCCGUAAACGAUGUCGACUAGC
rnacentral:rRNA from 1 species